rnacentral:rRNA from 1 species
UACGUAGGGUGCAAGCGUUAAUCGGAAUACUGGGCGUAAAGCGUGCGCAGGCGGUUUGUAAGUCUGUCGUGAAAUCCCCGGGCUCAACCUGGGAAUUGCAUUCGAGACUGAAUAGCUAGGGUGCGGUAGAGGGAAGCGGAAUUUCCGGUGUAGCGGUGAAAUGCGUAGAUAUCGGAAGGAACAUCAGUGGCGAAAGCGGACUUCCUGGACCAGCACCGGACGUUC